GUAGGGAAUAUUGGACAAUGGGGGGAACCCUGAUCCAGCCAUGCCGCGUGGAGGAAGACUGCCCUCUGGGUUGUAAACUCCUUUUAUAUGGGAAGAACCGUCCUCAUUAAUGAGUGACCUGACGGUACCAUAGGAAUAAGCACCGGCUAACUCCGUGCCAGCAGCCGCGGUAAUACGGAGGGUGCAAGCGUUAUCCGGAUUCACUGGGUUUAAAGGGUGCGUAGGCGGAUAAAUAAGUCAGUGGUGAAAUCAACGGGCUCAACCUGUUAACUGCCAUUGAUACUGUGUAUCUUGAAUAUGAGAGAGGUAGGCGGAAUGUUGCAUGUAGCGGUGAAAUGCUUAGAUAUGCUACGGAACACCGAUUGCGAAGGCAGCUUACUAUUUCGUAAUUGACGCUGAGGCACGAAAGCGUGGGUAGCGAACAGGAUUAGAUACCCUAGUAGUCC
rnacentral:rRNA from 1 species